AAUUGACCCUGGGGGAGGCUAAAAAGUCUGAGAGUCUUUCAGAAAAUAUUGGAAGAGACCCCAUGAACCUGAUACGGGUAAUGCCGGCGUAGGGAAGGGAAGGUAAACCGUA
rnacentral:ncRNA from 2 species